CUGAGACGUGCAAGGCUUGAAACUUUUGGUCGGUUUAGUUUUGGCUGAGAGGAAUCGAAAAAGAAUAGUAAUUACCGCACCGAAAUUGAAUUUCAGCGCUUUGGAGUGUCCCACACGGAAUUUGGCUUUCUUAUUUAAUCUUUGAUGUCUUCAUUGCUUUCAUCCCAUCGUUUUUAGUUUGGUUGGGUAGAUGACCAAAGCUGAAAAUAGAAUAAACAGAGUAUGCCAGAUACGUUUAGGAACCUUUGUAAUCUUCUUCUAGUUUUUUGAGAGAGAAGAGGAUCUGUGAUUGGUGGAGCAAGUAGCUCUGGUUUUGGUGAAAUACCCAUCAAUAAAAAGACGAUCUUUCACUGUUUUUGAUGCUUCUCGAAGGGAAGCUUCGCUGUAAACACUAAAGGGUUGAGUACUUCUGGGGGGGUGGCGGGAAAUAAAACCAUAUACAAUAUUAGACUUGGUGGUACCAAAAAUCUUGA